rnacentral:rRNA from 1 species
GAUGAACGCUGACAGAAUGCUUAACACAUGCAAGUCUACUUGAACUUCGGUUUGGGUGGCGGACGGGUGAGUAACGCGUAAAGAACUUGCCUCACAGAUAGGGACAACAUUUGGAAACGAAUGCUAAUACCUGAUAUUAUGAUUUUAGGGCAUCCUAGAAUUAUGAAAGCUAUAUGCACUGUGAGAGAGCUUUGCGUCCCAUUAGCUAGUUGGAGAGGUAACGGCUCACCAAGGCGAUGAUGGGUAGCCGGCCUGAGAGGGUGAUCGGCCACAAGGGGACUGAGACACGGCCAGUACUCCUACGGGAGGCAGCAGUGGGGAAUAUUGGACAAUGGACCAAGAGUCUGAUCCAGAAAUUCUGUGUGCACGAUGAAGUUUUUCGGAAUGUAAAGUGCUUUCAGUUGGGAAGAAAAGAAUGACGGUACCAACAGAAGAAGUGACGGCUAAAUACGUG